rnacentral:rRNA from 1 species
AUUGAACGCUGGCGGCAGGCCUAACACAUGCAAGUCGAGCGGAUGAAGGGAGCUUGCUCCUGGAUUCAGCGGCGGACGGGUGAGUAAUGCCUAGGAAUCUGCCUGGUAGUGGGGGAUAACGUCCGGAAACGGGCGCUAAUACCGCAUACGUCCUGAGGGAGAAAGUGGGGGAUCUUCGGACCUCACGCUAUCAGAUGAGCCUAGGUCGGAUUAGCUAGUUGGUGGGGUAAAGGCCUACCAAGGCGACGAUCCGUAACUGGUCUGAGAGGAUGAUCAGUCACACUGGAACUGAGACACGGUCCAGACUCCUACGGGAGGCAGCAGUGGGGAAUAUUGGACAGUGGGCGAAAGCCUGAUCCAGCCAUGCCGCGUGUGUGAAGAAGGUCUUCGGAUUGUAAAGCACUUUAAGUUGGGAGGAAGGGCAGUAAGUUAAGACCUUGCUGUUUUGACGUUACCAACAGAAUAAGCACCGGCUAACUUCGUG